GCAAGAUACCACGGGCGCACGGCGGAUGCCUUGGCACAGGGAGCCGAUGAAGGACGCGGCAAGCUGCGAUAAUCCCCGGCGAGGAGCACACAUCCUUCGACCCGGGGGUCUCCGAAUGGGCGAACCCAUGCACAGCAGUGUGCAUAUCCCCCCGCUGAACACAUAGGCGGGGGGAGGACAACCCGGGGAACUGAAACAUCUAAGUACCCGGAGGAGAGGAAAUCAAUCUCGAGACUCCCCGAGUAGCGGCGAGCGAAAGGGGACCGAUGGCCAAACCGUCGAGCGGGCAUACCCGGCAGGGGUUCCGCCGACGGGGUUGCAGGGCCGCGCAUCCGGGGGCUGCCGCCCCCGGGCGCAGGUCCGGCUGGGGAGCGGAACGGCAUGGGAGGGCCGGCCGCAGCGGGUGACAGCCCCGUACGCGAACCCAGACCGGACGGCGCGACGCGGUCCCUGAGUAGGGCCGGGCACGUGAAACCCGGUCCGAACCUGGGUGGACCACCAUCCAAGCCUGAGUACUACCCUGUGACCGAUAGCGCACCAGUACCGUGAGGGAAAGGUGAAAAGCACCCCGGGAGGGGAGUGAAACAGUACCUGAAACCGUGCGCCCACGAGCAGUCGGAGCAACUUUCAGUUGUGACGGCGUGCCUUUUGUAGAAUGAGCCAGCGAGUCGCUGGCGCGGGGCGAGGUUAACCGAAAGGGAGCCGGAGCGAAAGCGAGCCUUAACAGGGCGACUUGAGUCCCGCGCCGCGGACGCGAAGCCGGGUGAGCUAUCCGUGGGCAGGCUGAAGCGGGGGUAAGACCCCGUGGAGGGCCGAACGCACGUCGGUUGAAAACGGCGGCGAUGACCUGCGGAUAGGGGUGAAAGGCCAAUCAAACCCGGAGAUAUCUCGUUCUCCCCGAAAUAGCUUUAGGGCUAGCGUCGCGCGUUCACCGCCGGAGGUAGAGCACCGGAUGGACGAGGGGGCUUCGCCGCCUACCGAAUCCAACCGAACUCCGAAUGCCGGCGGCCCAGAGCGCGGCAGUCAGAGCAUGUGGGCUAAGCUGUGUGCUCGAGAGGGAAACAGCCCGGACCGCCCGCUAAGGUCCCCAAGUUCCAGCCGAGUGGCAAAGGAUGUGCGUCCGCCCAGACAACCAGGAUGUUGGCUUAGAAGCAGCCAUCCAUUCAAAGAGUGCGUAACAGCUCACUGGUCGAGUGGACAUGCGCCGACAAUACACGGGGCUAAGCUGGACACCGAAGCGGCGGGAUUUUGAUUUUCAGAAUCGGUAGGGGAGCUUCCCAUGGGCGGAGAAGCCGGAGGGCGACCGACGGUGGAGCGCAUGGGAGUGAGAAUGCUGGCAUGAGUAGCGAGAGACGAGAGAGUAACUCGUCCGCCGUGAACCCGAGGUUUCCUGGGCAAGGCUAAUCCUCCCAGGGUCAGUCGGGGGCUAAGGCGAGGCCGGUAGGCGUAGCCGACGCGCAGCAGGCAGACAUUCCUGCACCGCGCACGCGGCGCUACGACCGACGGGGCGACGGAUGGGGGUGGCUCGGCGGGGUUCUGGACGUCCCCGUGAUGGAGCGCGGCCCGCGGACCAGGGAAAUCCGGUCCGCACGAAGGGCGAGGCUCCGGACGAAGCGACUGAGCGAAGCGAGUGAGCCCGAGGUCCCUAGAAAAACCCCUAGGCAGGCGCGUGCGCGCCCGUACCGCAAACCGACACAGGUGGGUGGGUAGAACAUACCGAGGCGAUCGGGUCAACCAUGGUCAAGGAACUCGGCACAAUGGCCCCGUAACUUCGGGAGAAGGGGUGCCCGCGCGUACGUGAACCGGCUCGCCCGGGGAGCGGAGGCGGGCCGCAGUGGAGAGGCCCAAGCGACUGUUUACCAAAAACACAGGACUCUGCAGAAGCCGCAAGGCGACGUAUAGGGUCUGACGCCUGCCCGGUGCCGGAAGGUCACGCGGAGGAGUUAGCCGUUAAGGCGAAGCCCCGAAGCCAAGCCCCGGUAAACGGCGGCCGUAACUAUAACGGUCCUAAGGUAGCGAAAUUCCUUGUCGGGU
rnacentral:rRNA from 1 species